rnacentral:rRNA from 2 species
GAUGAACGCUUGCGGCAGGCAUAAUACAUGCAAGUCGAACGAGUGGCGGAUGGGUGAGUAACGCGUAUGCAACCUACCUCACACCGAGAACAAGCGACUGAAAAGUUGAAUAUCUCGUGAUGAUAGUUGGUGUGAGAUGGGCAUGCGUAUCAUUAGCUAGUUGGCGGGGUAAUAGCCCACCAAGGCGACGAUGAUUCGGGGGCCUGAGAGGGUGGUCCCCCACACUGGGACUGAGACACGGCCCAGACUCCUACGGGAGGCAGCAGUAGGGAAUAUCGGUCAAUGGGCGGAAGCCUGAACCAGCCAUGCCGCGUGAUGGAUGACGGCCUUAGGGUUGUAAACAUCUUUUCUACUAGAGGACGACUGUAUAGUAGGAAUAAGGAUCGGCUAACUCCGUGCCAGCAGCCGCGGUAAUACGGAGGAUUCGAGCGUUAUCCGGAUUUACUGGGUUUGAAGGGUGCGCAGGCGGGCUCUUAAGUCAGCGGUGAAAUGUCCGGGCUUACCCUGGGCCUUGCCGUUGAUACUGGGAGUCUUGGAUAAGAUAAGGACGGCGGAAUGCGUAGUGUAGCGGUGAAAUGCUUAGAUAUUACGUAGAAGACCGAUUGCGAAGGCAGCUGUCUGGGUCUAUCGACGCUCAAGCACGAAAGCGUGGGUAGCGAACAGGAUUAGAUACCCUGGUAGUCCACGCCGUAAACGAUGAUCACUCGCUCUUGGCGUGUCAGGGGCUAAGCGAAAGCGUUAAGUGAUCCACCUGGGGAGUACGACCGCAAGGUUGAAACUCAAAGGAAUUGACGGGGGCCCGCACAAGCGGAGGAACAUGUGGUUUAAUUCGAUGAUACGCGAGGAACCUUACCUGGGCUAGAACGGUCGAGGUGCUGCAUGGUUGUCGUCAGCUCGUGCCGUGAGGNGUCGGGUUAAGUCCCAUAACGAGCGCAACCCUUAUCGUCAGUUACCAUCAAUUGGGGACUCUGGCGAGACUGCCGGUGCAAACCGGAGGAAGGUGGGGAUGACGUCAAAUCAGCACGGCCCUUACGUCCAGGGCGACACACGUGUUACAAUGGGUAGCGGAGAGUUGCCAGCCAGCGAUGGUGAGCUAAUCUAUCUAUCCUCAGUUCGGACGGAGUCUGCAACUCGACUCCGGAAGCUGGAUUCGCUAGUAAUCGCGCAUCAGCCAUGGCGCGGUGAAUACGUUCCCGGGCCUUGUACACACCGCCCGUCAAGCCAUGAAAGUCAUGGGUGCCUGAAGUUCGUCGCAACCUAGGGCAAACUUGGUGAUUAGGG